UUUCCGUAGGGAACCUGCGGAAGGAUCAUUAUUGUAUAACCGAGGUGCGAGGGCUGUCGCUGACCCGAAAGGUCGUGCACGCCCGAGUGCCCUCACACACAUCCAUCUCACCCCUAUGUGCACCACCGCGUGGGUCCCCCUUUGGCUUGUUCGGAGGGGGGCUUACGUUUUCACACAAACUUUGUAUGCAGUGUAGAAUGUAUUUUUUGUUUUUGCGAUCACGCAAUCAAUACAACUUUCAACAACGGAUCUCUUGGCUCUCGCAUCGAUGAGGAACGCAGC
rnacentral:misc_RNA from 1 species